rnacentral:rRNA from 1 species
GACAGAGGGUGCAAACGUUGUUCGGAUUUACUGGGCGUAAAGCGCGUGUAGGCGGCUUUGCAAGUCGGAUGUGAAAGCCCACGGCUCAACCGUGGAAGUGCAUCCGAAACUGCAUGGCUUGAGUCUCGGAGAGGAAGGUGGAAUGCUUGGUGUAGAGGUGAAAUUCGUAGAUAUUCGGAAGAACACCAGUGGCGAAGGCGACUUACUGGACGAUUGUUGACGCUGAGGUGCGAAAGCGUGGGGAGCAAACAGG